rnacentral:rRNA from 1 species
UACAGAGGGUGCAAGCGUUGUUCGGAAUUAUUGGGCGUAAAGCGCGUGUAGGCGGCAUGGCAAGUCGGGUGUGAAAGCCCUCAGCUUAACUGAGGAAGUGCGCCCGAAACUGCCGUGCUUGAGUGCCGGAGAGGGUGGCGGAAUUCCCCAAGUAGAGAUGAAAUUCGUAGAUAUGGGGAGGAACACCGGUGGCGAAGGCGGCCACCUGGACGGUAACUGACGCUGAGACGCGAAAGCGUGGGGAGCAAACAGG